UAUGUGAUCGUCUCUCGCAUAUCAAUAAGCGGAGGAAAAGAAACUAACAAGGAUUCCCCUAGUAACGGCGAGUGAAGCGGGAAGAGCUCAAAUUUGAAAUCUUAAAGGGUUUCCCUUUACGAAUUGUAGUUUAAAGAAGUGUUUUCUGUUGAGGUUUUGGUAAAAGUUCUUUGGAAUAGGACAUCAUAGAGGGUGAGAAUCCCGUAUUUGACCUUUACUUUCAACUUUGUGAUACACUUUCAAAGAGUCGGAUUGUUUGGGAAUGCAGUCCAAAAUGGGUGGUAAAUUUCAUCUAAAGCUAAAUAUUGGCGAGAGACCGAUAGCGAACAAGUACCGUGAGGGAAAGAUGAAAAGAACUUUGAAAAGAGAGUUAAACAGUACGUGAAAUUGUCAAAAGGGAAGCGUUUGACACCAGUGUUGUUUUUCUGAAAAUCAAUUAAAGAACUGUUUAUGCUAAGUUGUUUAGACUUUAUCAGCUAACUGUUUAGUUUUGAGCUUUUCUUUAAUGCACUUUUCAGUUAACAAGUCAACAUCAAUUUCUUUUGCUGUAAAAAAGCUUGAGGAAGGUGGCUUGAGAUUCGUCUUAAGUGUUUAUAGCCUCUUGCCUAUGCAGUCGGAGAGAUUGAGGUCUGCAGCGUAGAUCCUUCGGGGCUAAAUGCAUUUGUGCUAAGUUAUAGCAUUUUAUAGACAACUUGUUGACUAUGAUUUGUCUUGUAGCUUACUCGCUUAUGUUAUUUUACCUACGCUUAGGAUGUUGAGUCAUCACACAUCUC
rnacentral:rRNA from 1 species